CCUACGGGUGGCUGCAGUGCGGAAUAUUGGUCAAUGGACGCGAGUCUGAACCAGCCACGUAGCGUGAAGGCUGACUGCCCUCUGGGUUGUACACUUCUUUUAUAAAGGAGUAAAACCAGGCACGUGUUCCUUUUUGCAUGUACUUUAUGAAUAAGGAUCGGCUAACUCCGUGCCAGCAGCCGCGGUAAUACGGAGGAUCCGAGCGUUAUCCGGCUUUAUUGGGUUUAAAGGGAGCGUAGAUGGGUUGUUAAGUCAGUUGUGAAAGUUUGCGGCUCAACCGUAAAAUUGCAAUUGAUACUGGCAGUCUUGAGUACAGUUGAGGUAGGCGGAAUUCGUGGUGUAGCGGUGAAAUGCUUAGAUAUCACGAAGAACCCCGAUUGCGAAGGCAGCUUACUAAACUGGGACUGACAUUGAUGCUCGAAAGUGUGGGUAGCAAACAGGAUUAGAUACCCGAGUAGUC
rnacentral:rRNA from 1 species